GAUGAAGAACGUAGUGAAAUGCGAUAAGUAAUGUGAAUUGCAGAAUUCAGUGAAUCAUCGAAUCUUUGAACGCACAUUGCGCCCCUUGGUAUUCCGAGGGGCAUGCCUGUUCGAGCGUCAUUAUAACCCCUCAAGCUCAGCUUGGUGUUGGGGCCUGCUGCACUGGCAGCCCUUAAAAUCAGUGGCGGCGCCAUCUGGCUCUAAGCGUAGUAAUUCUUCUCGCGAUGGAGUCCUGGUGGAUGCUUGCCAUCAACCCCCAAUUUUUCUAUGGUUGACCUCGGAUCAGGUAGGGAUACCCGCUGAACUUAAGCAUAUCAAUAAGCGGAGGA
rnacentral:misc_RNA from 1 species